ensembl:lncRNA
CAGAUAAUUAAAGACCAGUGCAGAUCAUUAAAGACCAGUACAGAUAAUUAAAGACCAGUACAGAUCAUUAAAGACCCUAUGUUGUGACAAUGACCUUGGAGUUCAGCAAGACAGUACAAGCAGAUCCAGAUCCAAGCUUAAAUACAUGUUCUCUAAAAGAAGCAAAUCAUUUGAAUGUCGGCAAGUUGCAUUCGCAGUCCAGGCUACUCAGCCAAGAAUACAUACAGUACCAGUCAAAAGUUUGGACACACCUACUCAUUCAAAAGGUUUUUCUUUAUUUUUACUAUUUUCUACAUUGUAGAAUAAUAGUGAAGACCUCACAACUAUGAUAUAACACAUAUGGAAUCAUGUAGUGACCAAAAAAAAAAGUGUUAAACAAAUCAAAAUAUAUUUUAUAUUUGAGAUUCUUCAAAGUAGCCACCCUUUACCUUGACGACAGCUUUACACUUCAUGGAUUGUCCUUGGCUCUGACAUGCACUGUCAACUGUGGGACAUUAUAUAGACAGGUGUGUGCUUUCCAAAUCACGUCCAAUCAAUUCAAUUUACCACAGGUGGACUCCAAUCAAGUUGUAGAAUGGAUGAUCAAGGCUGUAACGUAACAAAAUGUGGAGAGAAAAAAAUCAACGGGUCCGAAUGCACUACAUCUUCUCGACUGAGGGACCUUAGAGAUAAUUGUCUGUGUGGGGUACAGAGAAUCACGUUAAACACUAUUAUUACACACAGAGAGUGAGUCCACGCCAACUUGUUAUGUGACUUGUUGAGCACAUUUUUUACUCCUGAACUUAUCUAGGGCUUGACAUAACAAAGGAGUUGAAAACUAAAAUUGACUCAAGACAUUUCAGCUUUUCCCUUUUUAAAAAUAAAAAAUAAAUCAUUUUGUAAACAUUUCUAAAAACAUAAUUCCACUUUGACAUUAUGAUUGUGGUGUGUUAGAGGCCAGUGACACAAAAAAAUACAUCUUUAAGACAAAACGUAGAACAAGGUCAAGGGGUGUGAAUACUGUCCGAAGGCACUGCAUAUGUAACUGUCCAUAAGCUCUAUAACAGACAGCCCCCAUCCCUUUUCGUUUCAUUGUUUUACUCUGCACAGACCUUGGGGUGCACAGACACAACUAACACAAUCACUCGCUGUCUUGAUGAGAAAGUUAAAAACAAAACUAUUAUUAUAAGAAACAACGAUAAGACCGGUGAAUGAAGAAGACGACCUUUCUUUCACACAGAGGGGGGAGGGACUUCCGUGGUGGAUCGUUGGAGCGGUUUCUUUCCUGUUACCGAAUCAGAGGACGGAACGAAACGUAGAAACUAAAGAGGGAAUGGGUGAGUCUCAAAUGACCACCUAUUCCUUAUGGGGGCUCUGGUCUAAAGUAUGCACCCUAUAUAGGGAAUAGGGCUCUGGUCUAAAGUAGUACCACUAUAUAGGGAAUAGGGCUCUGGUCUAAAGUAGUACCACUAUAUAGGGAAUAGGGCUCUGGUCUAAAGUAGUACCACUAUAUAGGGAAUAGGGCUCUGGUCUAAAGUAGUACCACUAUAUAGGGAAUAGGGCUCUGGUCUAAAGUAGUACCACUAUAUAGGGAAUAGGGCUCUGGUUUAAAGUAGUGGACUAUAUAGGGAAUAGGGCUCUGUUCUAAAGUAGUGGACUAUAUAGGAAAUAGGACUCUGGUCUAAAGUAGUGCACUAUAUAGGGAAUAGGGCUCUGGUCUAAAGUAGUGGACUAUAUAGGGAAUAGGGCUCUGGUCUAAAGUAGUGGACUAUAUAGGGAAUAGGGCUCUGGUCUAAAGUAGUACACUAUAUAGGGAAUAGGGCUCUGUUCAACAGUAGUGCACUAUAUAGGGAAUAGGGCUCUGGUCUAUAGUAGUGCACUAUAUAGGGAAUAGGGCUCUGGUCAAAAGUAGUGCACUAUAUAGGGAAUAGGGCUCUGGUCAAAAGUAGUGCACUAUAUAGGGAAUAGGGCUCUGGUCUAAAGUAGUACCACUAUAUAGGGAAUAGGGCUCUGGUCUAAAGUAGUACCACUAUAUAGGGAAUAGGGCUCUGGUCUAAAGUAGUACCACUAUAUAGGGAAUAGGGCUCUGGUCUAAAGUAGUACCACUAUAUAGGGAAUAGGGCUCUGGUCUAAAGUAGUGGACUAUAUAGGGAAUAGGGCUCUGGUCUAAAGUAGUGGACUAUAUAGGGAAUAGGACUCUGGUCUAAAGUAGUGCACUAUAUAGGGAAUAGGGCUCUGGUCUAAAGUAGUGGACUAUAUAGGGAAUAGGGCUCUGGUCUAAAGUAGUGGACUAUAUAGGGAAUAGGGCUCUGGUCUAAAGUAGUACACUAUAUAGGGAAUAGGGCUCUGUUCAACAGUAGUGCACUAUAUAGGGAAUAGGGCUCUGGUCUAUAGUAGUGCACUAUAUAGGGAAUAGGGCUCUGGUCAAAAGUAGUGCACUAUAUAGGGAAUAGGGCUCUGGUCAAAAGUAGUGCACUAUAUAGGGAAUAGGGCUCUGGUCUAAAGUAGUGCACUAUAUAGGGAAUAGGGCUCUGGUCUAAAGUAGUGCACUAUAUAGGGAAUAGGGCUCUGGUCUAAAGUAGUGCACUAUAUAGGGAAUAGGGCUCUGGUCUAAAGUAGUGCACUAUAUAGGGAAUAGGACUCUGGUCUAUAGUAGUACCACUAUAUAGGGAAUAGGGCUCUGGUCUAUAGUAGUGGACUAUAUAGGGAAUAGGGCUCUGGUCUAAAGUAGUACCACUAUAUAGGGAAUAGGGCUCUGGUCUAUAGUAGUGGACUAUAUAGGGAAUAGGGCUCUGGUCUAUAGUAGUGGACUAUAUAGGGAAUAGGGCUCUGGUCUAAAGUAGUACCACUAUAUAGGGAAUAGGACUCUGGUCUAUAGUAGUGGACUAUAUAGGGAAUAGGGCUCUGGUCUAAAGUAGUACCACUAUAUAGGGAAUAGGGC